GCUUGUGGUGAGUUGAUCUCUGUUUGGAGUUUCAGGUAGGAAAUGUGUCCACAGUCCUCUAAUGCUCACCAAUCCCCAAGGGUAUGAGGGCCUUCUAAGGGGCCCAUGUCAUCUAUGCAGGCUAUGACAGUUUUCUUUCUAACUUUUCUCUCCCCUCCUGUCAGUUGUCAUCUCCCAGUUGGUCAAAGAGCAAAAGACUAGAUUUUGCCCCAUUUAGUUACACUUUCUAAUCUCUGGUUUUUAGCAUAUUCUCCAUACUUUUUGUUUCCCUCAAGGCUUUGGCUCUUGAUAUACAAAACCAAGUUUUGUAGAAUUCAAAAUCAUUUACUUUCUUCAUCCCCUUGCCUUUAAAAGAUUUCUUCAGUGUUAAGAUUUUUAAAACAUCAAUUCAGCAGUUUAAUUCACUUAUUUUAUCUUAGCUACCAUCUAACCACCACCUCUCAAGCAGUUACAUAUAAAGGGCCCAGAGUAUUCAACAAAUGGAGAGGAAGAUAAUGAACAUCAUGGACACAAGGGAGAAAUUUUAAAAGAGGCAAAACCAAACCCAGUAGACCAUAGUGAAGAGCUUCAAUUCUUUUUCUAAAUAAAAUGGAAAGACCUUGGUAAAUUUUGAUCUGAGAUAUUACAUGUGCUUAUGUUUUUUAAAAAAUUUGCUUUGUUUGGAGAUUGAUUGAUCACCUGAGUAAGAAUAAAAUAUGGUGGCUUAUUUUACCCAAGUGUUAUUGGGAAGAUAUAAAGAAGUAGAUGGAUUCAAGAUAUAUUUUAAAAUAUUACAUACAGGGGCUGGGAUUGUGGCUCAGCGGU
rnacentral:lncRNA from 1 species